rnacentral:rRNA from 1 species
AUUGAACGCUGGCGGCAUGCCUUACACAUGCAAGUCGAACGGUAACAGGUUAAGCUGACGAGUGGCGAACGGGUGAGUAAUAUAUCGGAACGUGCCCAGUCGUGGGGGAUAACUGCUCGAAAGAGCAGCUAAUACCGCAUACGACCUGAGGGUGAAAGCGGGGAUCGCAAGACCUCGCGCGAUUGGAGCGGCCGAUAUCAGAUUAGGUAGUUGGUGGGGUAAAAGCCUACCAAGCCAACGAUCUGUAGCUGGUCUGAGAGGACGACCAGCCACACUGGGACUGAGACACGGCCCAGACUCCUACGGGAGGCAGCAGUGGGGAAUGUUGGACAAGGGGCGCAAGCCUGAUCCAGCAAUGCCGCGGGCAGGAAGAAGGCCUUCGGGUUGUAAACUGCUUUUGUACGGAACGAAACGGUCCUGGUUAAUACCCGGGGCUAAUGACGGUACCGUAAGAAUAAGCACCGGCUAACUACGUGCCAGCCGCCGCCGUAAUAC